rnacentral:tRNA from 1 species
GAGGGUAUAGCUCAGUGGUAGAGCACAAGCUUAGCAUGCAUGACGUGGUGGGUUCAAUCCCCAGAACCUCC